rnacentral:RNase_P_RNA from 1 species
AGUAGGUUGGAUGACUGCGGUGAAAAUACGAGGAAAGUCCGAGCUUCACAGAGCAGGAUGCCGGAUAACGUCCGGUGGAGGCGACUCUAAGGAAAGUGCAACAGAGAUAUACCGCCGCAUUGCUUUACUUUUGUAUUGAAGCGCUUUGCGCUGCCUAUGCGGUAAGGGUGGAAAGGCGAGGUAAGAGCUCACCGACCGUUAUGGCGACUUAACGGUCCUGUAAACCCCAUUCGAAGCAAGAUUGAUAGCGGAGCAUUAACGGCUGCUCGUCGGCUCCCAUGUAAUCGCUUAAGUUUUUCGGUAACGAAAAAAAUAGAUAGAUAGUCAUCUUUAACAGAACUCGGCUUACAGACCUACUCA